rnacentral:rRNA from 1 species
CGGCGGACGGGUGAGUAACACGUGGAUAACCUACCUAUAAGACUGGGAUAACUUCGGGAAACCGGAGCUAAUACCGGAUAAUAUAUUGAACCGCAUGGUUCAAUAGUGAAAGACGGUUUUGCUGUCACUUAUAGAUGGAUCCGCACCGCAUUAGCUAGUUGGUAAGGUAACGGCUUACCAAGGCAACGAUGCGUAGCCGACCUGAGAGGGUGAUCGGCCACACUGGAACUGAGACACGGUCCAG